AAUUGCUCAAGUUCUACUCAGUCAUAAUUCUAAGUCAUUUUGAAUAAAAGCGUCAGAUAAAUGCCAUAAAUGUAGCCCAUCUGUCAGAACUGAAGUGCUGACGUUUUUAAUUUUUUCACUUUAGGCUCUAAUUCUAUAUCUGUAGAUUUUGAAUAUUCCAGAAUAUUUUGAGAGAAAGGCAUCAUGAUUUUAAGUCUUAUUUUUUCUCAUUCAUUCAAGCAAACUGAAAAAUACUCUAAAUGAUUUGUGCUUCUCUGCAGCCAUUUUGUGGUGGUGUUCAGCUGUAUUAUUCAGUGUCUGAAUCAGACAGGCAUAUUGUCCAUGUAGCUAUGUUCAAAAUGGACCUCUGAUCACCAUUCUUUACAUUGUGAAAUCAAAAGCAUUAUGUGGAACACUAAGAAACAAAGUUCAUGAUUUAGUAAACAAAUGUUGUACACUUACUUUACAUGAAUUUGCUAGUCACACUGAGAAAGUAGUCUCAUUCCCUAGCAUGUGCAUGCAAAAUAUAAUGCUGUCAGUUCACUGUAACUGCUACAGCAGAGGAAAUGUAAAAAUGCUUAAACACUGUGCUGUUUCAAGAUGUUGCUAUUGUAGCUUACCAUCCUCCUCAAAGAAGUUGUGUGUAAACCUUCAAACCAAAUGACACGGUCGAUCAUGAGUGUUCAGUAUCCUUUUGUGUGCGUCAUAUAUGCAGGACCUAUUAUGAUGCGCUGUGGGAUUAUAAGAGUGCACUGGAAAUUCUCUACCAUUUUUGGUCACCACUACAAAAUGGCAGCCUCUCAAAAUAGUGUAUUAUAAUAGUGAACAGGGCAUUGUUCUGAACAUGGCGUAUUGGUUCUGCCUGUGUUUGAUUAGGACACUGAAGUGGCUGUUCACUAAUUUCAAGAUCUUGGAAUUGAUCCUUACACCUUCAGUAAAAACAAGGUUGUAAAUGUAUAUGUAUUAUUUCAUACAGGUAUUGUGAAACAUGAGGCAGACGUAUGCAGGGCGUAGUGUGCAGGAUAUGGCUAAAACCUAAAUUGUCAGGGUGAUUCACCAUUGAAAGUAUUUUAUUGCAAGUUUGGAUUAGUCUUGAUUGCAAGUUUGGAUUAGUCUUGGUCUGGGAAACCAGCCCUACAUAUAACACCAUGACAUAGGUAAUGAUACCUCCAGAAUCAAUCUUUAUAUUUGAUAGUUGUUUUCGCACAAAUAUUUAUUUAAAACUUGAAGGUAAACUGAGCGAUGACCAUUAGCCUUUGGGAAAAUGUGUCCAGAUAGAAUCAUCACUUGUUGAUUUGUGUAUACUCUUGAAGCCUUUGGUUGUACUCUAGGUCACAUGUCUUUUAUCUCCCUAAUGGUGACCAAGCAUCUAACGUUGUCCAGUGUUGACAUUUUGCAAACAUAGUUACUGAGUAAGGAGUGCACAUAAGUUACCAUUAUGUGCACUAGUUACCAUUGUUCAAUCUGCAUGUCAAAGCAUUAAAUAAUCACUUAAAAGACCAAAGCUUUGCCAAGAAUACAAUUUACACAGAUGGUUUCGUAAAAUGGCAACAUAUGUCAGUAUACAAACCAAAUUAAAAUUGUCAUAAUUUCAGUCACCUCCAACUUACCAUGCAUGUCUGCUCAGGAUUAUAAUGUCAAAUCUCAUAUGGGCCUGUCUAAUGUAAGCAUAACCAAUGUGAAUGUGUUAGCCACAGUAGGCUGACUAGAAUAGCUAGCAAUAACAGAUUCUGUUGCACAGUGUCUGAUGAGUAAACCACUGAAGAUGGUUAAUUGUGUUCUGCAAAAGCAAAGCCAUGAGGUUCUAAAUGUUUCAUCCUCUGGAUCUUUGUUUGCAGGUUUCUGUUAGUAACAUCAGUAGCAGCUCUUACCUGUGACCAAAAUUCCUGCUUUAAAGUCAAAAACUGAUAUUGUGACUUGAGUCUUUCUCAAAUUGUGAAGACCACAUCCUACAGGGCUCCAGACUAGCUAACUUUUUCCAGAAGUGUUUCAUUUUGGAUUUUUAAGAUGCCAUAGUAUCAUCAUCUUUGUUUGGAUUAUCUACACUGUAUGUAUUUCAUAUCAUUAAGGCUAGUUAAGGAGAAGUAUAGGAAAGCAUCACAGUUAUUAACAGACAUUUCAACAGGGGAAAUCUUCACAAUUUCCAUAAAUAAUACAACUGCAUGUUGCACAUAUCAAGUAAGUUAGGAUGAGUAAAUUCAGUCCAAUAUAGGUAAUAAGAUUCUGCAGGUUAUUUAAAAAUAACACAGUUAUCUUUGUGUGAUUUUUCUUUUUAAAAAACUUUUUUUAUGACCAUUUUAUGUCUUUAUUAUACUACAUAUGAAAUAGCCUACUCCUAUCUUCAGGUUUUGAAUGUGUUAUUGUGAGCUUGUUGCAGUGUAAUAAACUUGCAUUCCCUGAUACUCACAGCUAGUCUAACCAUGUGUGACGAAAUGAGAGUGAAGUUAUCGAAACCAGAUUGGAAUUUGAUAAAAGUGGAUAGUCAAGCUCACUGUGUGACUUGAACAGUCUGCAGCGUCUGCACCAUUUGUGUGAUAAACAUUAGCUAGAUAUUGACCUCUUCACGGAAGACUCGAGCUGAGAGAAUGCUCUGUCACUAGCUCACAGAGUGAUAUCUAGCUAGCUAAACUAGCGAUCAUGUCAUUAACCAGAGGUAACGUUAACAUUUACACAGUUAGUUUUGUAUUGUAUAUUGAUUUGUUUUUUACCUAAUCAUCGUUUUUCGUUUCACCUGCUGGAACACUGAUGUCCACUUCAGCUUUUUUUUUUUAAAGGUCAAAGCAUCGCUAAAAGUGCUUAAGCAGGUACCACUUCUCCACCACUUAAAAAAGUGACUUGACAGUGUCCUACUUACCAUUGCCAUAGGAAUCAGGGAGAGUGAAUUUUGAAGCAGAAAUGCACCAACCGUAACUUACUUGCCUUUCAUUUACCUGUUGCUUCAUAUACUUUUAUAGACGUAAUUUUAAUGCAUGCAGCAUUUUUGUCCCCAAAAAGCUUUAAUAUUGUCCCAUGAACUCUUUUUAUCAUUCCUGGGAAGGUGGGAUGCCGUUAGUCUGGAGCCCAGCUCCUAUCUUGGUCUUAUAUUUGCGUGGAGUGAAAACUAUUUGCUGAUAGAGAAAGCGAUUUCACCUUCAGCUGUGUACUAUUGUGGUUUUUAGCUUUACAGAGUACUUAUGUUAUUGAUGUCUUCCAUACAAUGUCAGAAACCACAUAAAUUAAGAUUAUAUAACAUUGUCCAUAUGUAAUGAUUUGGCACGCAGUUUGUACACUAUAUCUAAUGGGAUGUACAUUUACCGUAAAAUACUAUUUUAAAAAGUUGUAUUGGCCUUCUAACUACUGCAGAAUUUGGACCUUUAACCACAAGAUCUUAAGCUCUUUAACUGCAAUAAGCAUUAUUAGUGUUCUUUUUGUGCUCAGCUUUUACUUGAAUGUCAGUUUUGCUGAUGGUUCAUUGUGUACUGUUCAAACAUCCUUAAAGGGUGAUAACUGGGUAAUGGAGAAGAUACAGCCCUAUCAUUACAAAAUGUGCCCGUGUUUAUAGUGGCUGAUGUGCCCCAACAGGUUAACAAACUGGCCUUGAUUUGAGCCAAGGCAUCUACAGGCAAAUAUGGGCUGCAUGAUAAAGGUCCACCGAGUUAAACUGCUAAGUAAAGCUUUACCAAACAACUAAAAAUGAGUAAAUUGCAUAGUACGAAUGUUCGAAACUGUAUGGAAAGUACCAGCGUAGCAAGAAGUUAAGAAUCACAGUCCUCUAUCUUCCUCUGAGCUUUUUAGGUACGUUUUAAUGACAGGAUGUGGGGAUCCAAUUUCACACUACAUCCUUUUCCUUAGUUUUCUUUUUGAGUACAGACUUUGGAGUGAAAUGUCUUUCAAAAUACACUUCUUGGUAACUAACUAGAUGUUAGCAACUAGUUAAGCAGGAUUAAACGAGUUAAAACAUAUUGAAACUAACUCAAUGGGAUCAAAUUUAAUUAUUAUGCUAUAUUAUGAUUGACAGGAAAAUAACUUUGCUCAUGAAAUUAUUUAGGGCUUUUAAUUAGUUGGUUUUUUUUUUUUUUUUUUUAAUAUAUAUUUUGAUGUUAGUUGAUCAGAUUGAGUGAACUGUGGAAAAAAAUACCAGUAUAGACUGUAAACUUUGGCCAAACUGACUGAAACAUCAGAAUUGAUCACCUGUUGGAUUUGUGCACUCAAAGAUUGGAAUUAAAUAUAUUCAGGCCCUGCAUGCUUGAUUCUUGCAUACAUGGUCCAUGCAGGUAGCUAUAGAGUAGUGCAUUACUGUUCAUAGCUGAAUAAACCAUGAUGGAUUGCCACUGGAUGUUUCUUGCUUGUGAACUGUGAACUGGGUUGGGUCAGUAGUCAUUGAACAUAUAAGACUGCAGUGUAUUACUUAGUAGGCCUUUAGUUAGUUUACUACCUCAAGAUGUUGCUUUCUAUUCCAUGUUGAAUUUUAACCAAAUGUCUAUACUUUAGAUGCUUUUGGUAUAGUUUAAUUCUUAGGUUUUGCCUUCACCUCCUCACUCUUUUGUGUGUGUGUGUGUGUGUGUGUGUGUGUGUGUGUGUGUGUGUGUGUGUGUACGUGGUUGUGUUUCUGUGUUUUGUUAUUGUUGAGGGAUUUUUGCCUCCUUUCCAUUUCUCUGGUCCUUGUCAUGGUUGAACUGGGAGCCCUACAACGGUGAAUGACACCCUCAUUAUGCAAGGUUGACUCUGGAAUGGAUAGAGAGAAAGAGAGGGCACGCGCAGCACUACAGAGUGUGUGCGCUGUCCGCUCUGUGCAAUCGUACAGAGUCCAGCCAAAUGUGUGCUCUCUCACUCGCUCUCUCCUUCAUGAGCCCUGGUCCAUGUCUAAGUUGAAAAACAGACUGACUCAAGUGUCAGGGACAAAACAAGUUGGCCAUCCUCACAUACUAAGAGAGGGAGAGAGCGAACUUAAAG